GUUAAGGACAAAGAAACCUGCCACUGCCUAUUUUGAAACAAUUUUUGAAUCAGAGAAAAUUAGUUAUGGAACACUAUACAAUAGUUUUCAUGAACUGGAAAGUGAUUAUGAAAAACUUGGAAGCACUACAAUGGGGAUCAAAUCUUGGAGUGUAGGGCCAGUUUCAGCUUGGACCAACAAGAAUGAUGAAAAAAAGGCCAAUAGGGGACACAUAGAGGAGCUUGGAAAAGAGGAAGAGUGGCUAAAUUGGCUUAACUCAAAGGAAAAUGAGUCCGUAUUGUAUGUAAGUUUUGGAAGUCUAAUUAGGCUUGAUAAUGCUCAGAUUGUAGAAAUUGCACACGGUCUCGAAAAUUCAGGUCAUAAUUUUAUCUGGGUUGUAAGGAAAUAUGAGAGGGAUGAGAGUGAAAACACUUUCCUUCAAGAUUUUGAGGAAAGGAUGAAAGAAAGCAAAAAGGGCUAUAUCAUAUGGAAUUGGGCACCACAACUUCUGAUAUUGGAUCAUCCUGCAACAGGAGGGAUUGUGACUCACUGUGGUUGGAACUCGAUUCUUGAAAGCUUGAAUGCUGGUUUGCCAAUGAUCGCAUGGCCAAUAUUUGCUGAGCAAUUUUACAAUGAAAAGUUGCUUGUUGAUGUUUUGAAGAUAGGGGUCCCAGUUGGAGCAAAAGUAAACGAGUUCUGGAAUAGCACUAGUGAAACCGUAGCGGUGAAGAGGGAAGAUGUAACGCCCUAGUUAUUUAUUUAAUUAUUUUAUUAUGUGGAGUAUAUAUAUAUAUAUAUAUAUAUAUAUAUAUAUAUAUAUAUAUAUAUAUAUUUAUAUAUGAGGUUUGGUGGUUUAUGUGGAGUAUAUGCAUAUAUUUAUAUAUAUAUGUGUGUGUUUUUGGGUGAUUUAUGUGGUGCAUUAUUUUAUAAUAUGAUUUAUUUAAUAAUAAUUAGAAUAAGUAUGAAAUAAUGAUUAUUUUGGAGUUUGGGAAAUAAUAGGAGUUACUAGAAAUUAUGGGGAGUUAAGUGUAAUUAGAAGGGAGUUACCUUUGAGUAGGGAGUUAGGAAAUAGAAGUUAGAUAGUAUUGUACGUGAAAAACUGUUUUACGUGAAACCAAGCCAAGGGAGAGGAAACCAGGAACAAGAGAGAAGAACCAAGGGAAUCCAUUUUUGCUGUGCAUUUUCAUUCUGAACUAAGGUAAGGGUGAGGUUUACUUCAUUAGUGUAGAUUUUAAAGUCUGAUUUUGGUUUUAACAGGUUUUGGAGUGAAAUUGAAGAAUUGGGUAUUAAUUGAAUUUAUGGUUUUUGGGGUAGAUACUGCUGUUCUGAUGUUAGAAUUCGGUUUUGGUUGCAUAGAAACAUUCAAUUUUCAUCUGUAAACUGAUUUGGGGAGUGAUUGAAAGGAAAAUGGGAUUUUUGGGAAAAACUAGUUUUCUGCCCGUACAGAAGUUCAUCGCUCGCCUCGCGAGUAGCUGUGCUCGCCAUGGCGAGUGAGCAACUUCAUAGCUCGCCUCGCAAGCAGUCCAACUCGCCAUGGUGAGUAGCCCAGAUUAAAACUUGAUUUUUGAAAAGUUGUUAUAAGAUGUUUUGGGGAUGGUUUAAGGUACCUAGAUGAUAAUAAAGAUGAAUGGUGGAAGUUUUAGGUUAAAAAGAUGAAUAGGGAACUUAGAAUUGGGAUUUGAGUGAGAAAAUGACAUUUUUCCCGAGAGCACCUGAUUUUCACUCGCCUCGAGUUCGCCUUGAAGUCGCCAUGGCGAGCUAGUGUUUUUUGUGAACUCGCCAUGGCGAGCAGAUGUGCUCGCGAGGCGAGCUGCAUAGUUCCUGAGUGUGGUUUUGCUAGCUUUAAUAGUGGUGGUUGAAUGUUGUUGUAUUUGGGCAUGGUUAUAUAUAAUUAUGCAUUAUAUUGGUUGUUUGAACUGCUGGAUCGAUGAUUAUUGAUGAUGGUUGAAUGUAUGUUAUUUAUUGAAUCAUACAUAUUAUUAUAGUGGAGUCACAUGGAGUUGCAUUGCAUGGUCAGUUGUAUGUAGAUAUACACAAGUAGGUCCAUUGCAUAUGCAUUAAACAGCGGUGAGGGCUUCGGUCCUGGAGUACUAGUUGCUCAACAGCGGUGAGGGCUUCGGUCCUGAUGAAUGCUUUAACCAUUCAAAAGCGGUGAGGGCUUCGGUCCUGUUUGGUACCACAUGCAUAUUGCAUUUCAUUUAAGAAGUCUAAGAUGGUGUCUUAGCAGUGGUCAUGUCAAUUGCAUGAGUCUUGGUUGUUGAUUUCAGUUAUUAAUUGAUGGAUGAUGUUGGUGUUGAAUAUACAUUUAUAUAUGUUCAUUGUGAUCAUGGUGUAUUGUUGUUGUUGUUGUUGCUUGUAACUUAUAUAUAUAUAUAUAUAUAUGUUUACAAGAUGAUAAGUUUGUUGAUUAGGGUGUUAGAUUCAAUUGAAGAUUUUAAUAUCUAUAUUUAUUGUUGUGAAUCUCACCUCUUCUGCUUGAAAAUGUUGCCCUUCCUAUGGGUAACUUGCAGGUGAUCCUGAGUAGUUGGUGGUGGCUCAAGAGUCGUGUCUAGGGCUCUGAUACGUGGGAUGAGAACUGUCAUUUAUAUUAUUGUUGUUUCUUUUCCUUUCCAUGUAUCAAAUUUUGGAAUUGUGAUGUGGAGCCUUUACUAUCUUUUGAACAAUGUUGUUGGAUUAUGCCAAGGCCUUUAAUGCCGUAGGCUGAUGUUGGAUUGAAAACUAUUCCGCUGCUAUGUUUCCAUUUUUAUCAAGUGGUUUAAUUAAAUAGUUUUAUUUUCUAUUUAAGAAAUUUUGAAAUUGCAAUGUAGCAUACCCGUUUGGUGAAAUCCUCUGAUGAUUAUUUGUUAUUUAAUUUGUUUUGGGUAACGGGGUGUUACAAUUUGGUAUCAGAGCAGGUUGGUCCGUCCGGCCAAGUAGUAGAGUCGUGUUGAGCCACCUAUGAUAGAGUGUCAACUUUAAUGUUGCUUUUUGUUGUUGUUCUGAGUUGUUGUUUGUCGUGUAGAAUCUCGAGAUGACUGGAAGUAGUGAUGCUGCGCUUGAGGCUGUAGCUCAAGCUGUUCAACAACAACCUAAAGUUGAGACUGGUAACGAUGGAACCAGAAUGCUAGAGACUUUCUUGAGGAAUCAUCCACCAACUUUCAAGGGUAGGUAUGAUCCUGACGGUGCUCAGAAAUGGCUGAAGGAGAUUGAAAGGAUAUUCAGGGUCAUGUAGUGUUCUGAGGUUCAAAAGGUGCGGUUUGGGACGCACAUGCUAGCUGAAGAGGCCGAUGAUUGGUGGAUUAGUCUGUUGCCUGUGUUGGAACAGGAUGAUGCUGUGGUAACCUGGGCCAUGUUCAGGAAGGAGUUUCUGGGCAGGUAUUUUCCAGAGGAUGUCAGAGGUAAGAAAGAGAUUGAAUUUCUGGAGUUGAAACAGGGUGACAUGUCUGUCACAGAGUAUGCUGCAAAGUUUGUGGAGCUUGCCACAUUCUACCCUCAUUACAGUGCGGAGACAGCUGAGUUCUCCAAGUGUAUCAAGUUUGAGAAUGGAUUGAGGGCUGACAUCAAGAGAGCCAUUGGAUAUCAGCAGAUCAGAGUCUUCUCUGAGUUGGUUAACAGGUGUAGAAUCUAUGAAGAAGACACCAAAGCUCAUUACAAGAUAAUGAGUGAGAGGAGGGGUAAGGGAUAACAGAAUCGUCCUAAGCCUUACAGUGCUCCUGCUGACAAAGGAAAGCAGAAGAUGAGUGAUGAUAGGAGGCCCAAGAGGAGAGAUGCUCCGGCUGAGAUUGUUUGUUACAAGUGUGGUGAGAAAGGCCACAAGAGUAAUGUUUGUGGAAGAGAUGAUAGGAAGUGCUUCAGGUGUGGUCAGAAGGGUCACAGUUUAGCUGAAUGCAAGCGUGGGGACAUUGUCUGUUACAAUUGCAAUGGAGAAGGUCAUAUUAGUACACAGUGUCCUGAACCGAAGAAGACUAGAACUGGUGGAAAGGUGUUUGCUUUGACUGGUACGCACACUCCUAAUGAGGACCGACUCAUCAGAGGUACUUGUUUCUUUAAUAGUACUCCUUUAAUUGCUAUUAUUGAUAUUGGUGCUACUCAUUGUUUUAUUGCUAUUGAAUGUGCAUAUAAGUUGGGUUUGGAUGUAUCUGAUAUGAAAGGGGAAAUGGUUGUUGAAACUCCAGCUAAGGGUUCAGUAACCACUUCUCUUGUUUGUCUGCGGUGUCCUAUAUCUAUGUUUGGUAGAGAUUUUGUGAUUGAUUUAGUUUGUCUGCCGUUGACGGGUAUGGAUGUUAUCUUUGGUAUGAAUUGGUUAGAGUUUAAUCGAGUCCAUAUCAACUGCUAUAAUAAGACGGUGCAUUUCUCUUCUGCUGAAGAAGAAGGUGAGGUUGAGCUUCUGUCUACAAAACAGAUGAAACAGUUUGAACGUGAUGGAAUUCUGAUGUAUUCUCUAAUGGCACAAUUGUCGUUAGAAAAUCAAGCUGUGAUUGAUGGGUUACCUGUAGUGAAUGAAUUUCCGGAAGUGUUUCCUGAUGAGAUUCCUGAUGUGCCACCAGAAAGGGAGGUUGAAUUUUCAAUUGACCUUGUUCCAGGAACUAAGCCGGUGUCGAUGGCACCGUACCGUAUGUCAGCUUCUGAGUUAGCUGAGUUGAAGAAACAGUUGGAGGACCUGUUAGAUAAGAAGUUUGUAAGACCCAGUGUUUCACCUUGGGGAGCACCGGUNUUGUUGGUCAAGAAGAAGGAUGGUAGUAUGAGAUUGUGUAUAUAUCACCGUCAGUUGAACAAAGUUACGAUCAAGAACAGGUAUCCGCUUCCUAGAAUUGACGACUUGAUGGAUCAGUUGGUUGGUGCUAAGAUUUUCAGUAAGAUUGAUUUGAGGUCUGGUUAUCAUCAGAUAAAGGUGAAGGAUGAAGAUAUGCAGAAGACGGCCUUUAGGACACAUUAUGGUCAUUACGAGUACAAAGUGAUGCCUUUCGGUGUUACUAACGCGCCUGGUGUUUUUAUGGAGUACAUGAAUCGAAUCUUCCAUGCUUUUCUGGAUAAGUUUCUUGUGGUGUUUAUUGACGAUAUUUUAAUCUAUUCCAAGAAUGAGGAGGAGCAUGCAGAGCAUCUGAGAAUUGUGUUGCAAGUGUUGAAGGAAAAGAGGUUGUAUGCAAAGUUGUCGAAAUGUGAGUUCUGGUUAAGUGAAGUGAGCUUUCUGGGUCACAUUAUUUUUGGUAGUGAUAUUGCAGUGGAUCCUUCAAAGGUUGAUGCGGUAUCACAGUGGGAGACUCUGAAGUCGGUAACUGAGAUCAGAAGUUUUCUGGGUUUGGCUGGUUAUUACCGCAGGUUCAUAGAAGGGUUUUCGAAAUUGGCUCUUCCGUCGACACAGUUGACCUGUAAGGGUAAGUCUUUUGUGUGGGAUGCUCAGUGUGAGCGUAGUUUCAAUGAGUUGAAGCGAAGAUUGACAAUUGCUCCUGUUUUGAUUUUGCCUAAACCAGAAGAACCGUUUGUUGUGUACUGUGAUGCAUCUAAGCUGGGCUUAGGUGGUGUUCUGAUGCAAGAUGGUAAGGUGGUAGCGUAUGCUUCUAGGCAGUUGCGUGUUCAUGAGAAGAAUUAUCCUACACAUGACCUGGAGUUAGCUGCGGUGGUUUUUGUUUUGAAAAUUUGGAGGCAUUAUUUGUACGGUUCCAGAUUUGAGGUGUUCAGAUUUGAGGUGUUCAGUGAUCAUAAAAGUCUGAAGUAUUUAUUUGACCAGAAGGAACUGAACAUGAGGCAGAGGAGAUGGUUAGAGUUACUGAAGGAUUAUGAUUUUGGCUUGAAUUACCAUCCGGGUUAAGCCAAUGUUGUGGCUGAUGCUUUGAGCAGGAAAACUUUGCACAUGUCUGCUUUGAUGGUGAAGGAAUUUGAAUUGCUAGAACAUUUCAGAGACAUGAGUCUUGUCUGUGAAUUGUCAUUCCAGAGUAUACAUUUGGGAAUGUUGAAAAUUGAUAGUGACUUCUUGAACAGUAUCCGAGAAGCUCAGAAAGUGGAUUUGAAGUUUGUUGAUUUGAUGACUUCAGGUAAUGACACUGAGGAUAGUGAUUUUAAGGUUGAUGAUCAGGGUGUGCUGAGGUUCAGAGGUAAAGUUUGUAUUCCUGAUAAUGAAGAGUUGAAGAAGUUGAUUCUUGAGGAGAGUCACAAGAGUAGGUUGAGUAUUCACCCGGGGGCUACUAAAAUGUACCAUGAUUUGAAGAAACUGUUUUGGUGGUCCGGUUUGAAAAGAGAUGUUGCUCAGUUCGUUUAUGCCUGUUUGAUCUGUCAGAAGUCCAAGGUUGAGCAUCAGAAGCCUGCGGGGUUGUUGACACCGUUAGAUGUACCGGAGUGGAAGUGGGAUAGUAUCUCUAUGGAUUUUGUGACGAGUUUACCGAACACUCCGAGGGGGCAUGACGCUAUUUGGGUUGUUGUCGACCGGUUGACAAAGUCGGCACACUUCAUUCCUAUCAAUAUCAAUUAUCCGGUAGCGCAGUUAGCAGAAAUUUAUAUUCACAGUGUAGUGAAACUUCAUGGUGUUCCGGCGAGUAUUGUGUCGGAUAGAGAUCCGAGGUUCACUUCUAGGUUCUGGAAGCGUUUACAGGACGCCUUGGGUUCGAAGUUGAGGUUGAGUUCGGCUUAUCAUCCUCAAACAGAUGGUCAGUCGGAGAGGACGAUUCAAUCAUUGGAAGAUUUGUUGAGAGUGUGUGUGCUUGAACAAGGUGGAGCUUGGGACAGUCACUUGCCUUUGAUUGAGUUUACUUAUAACAACAGCUAUCACUCGAGUAUUGGUAUGGCACCGUUCGAAGCCUUGUAUGGUCGGAGGUGUAGGACUCCUUUAUGCUGGUUUGAGUCGGGUGAAAGUGUUGUGUUGGGACCGGAUUUGGUUCAUGAGACUACUGAGAAAGUCAGGUUGAUAAGAGAAAGGAUGAAAGCUUCGCAGAGUCGACAGAAGAGUUACCAUGACAAGCGAAGGAAGGAGCUUGAGUUUCAGGAGGGUGAUCAUGUUUUUCUGAGGGUCACUCCUUUGACGGGUGUUGGUCGUGCUCUGAAGUCGAGAAAGUUGACUCCUAAGUUCAUUGGUCCGUAUCAGAUUUCAGAUAGAGUUGGUUUGCCACCACAUCUUUCGAACUUGCACGAUGUGUUUCAUGUUUCUCAGCUUCGGAAGUAUGUUGCGGAUCCUUCUCAUGUGAUUCCAAGGGAUGAUGUGCAGGUUAGGGACAACCUGACUGUGGAGACUAUGCUGUUGAGGAUUGAUGACAGAAAGGUGAAGUCCUUGAGAGGUAAAGAGAUACCUCUUGUGAGAGUCGUUUGGGGUGGAGCGACUGAUGAAAGUUUGACUUGGGAGCUGGAGAGUAAGAUGCGGGAGUCGUAUCCGGAGUUGUUUGCUUGAGGUAAGAUUUCGAGGACGAAAUUCUGUAAUUUGGGGAGAGUUGUAACGCCCUAGUUAUUUAUUUAAUUAUUUUAUUAUGUGGAGUGUAUAUAUAUAUAUAUAUAUGAGGUUUGGUGGUUUAUGUGGAGUAUAUGCAUAUAUUUAUAUAUAUGUGUGUGUUUUUGGGUGAUUUAUGUGGUGCAUUAUUUUAUAAUAUGAUUUAUUUAAUAAUAAUUAGAAUAAGUAUGAAAUAAUGAUUAUUUUGGAGUUUGGGAAAUAAUAGGAGUUAUUAGAAAUUAUGGGGAGUUAAGUGUAAUUAGAAGGGAGUUACCUUUGAGUGGGGAGUUAGGAAAUAGAAGUUAGAUAGUAUUGUACGUGAAAAACUGUUUUACGUGAAAUCAAGCCAAGGGAGAGGAAACCAGGAACAAGAGAGAAGAACCAAGGGAAUCCAUUUUUGCUGUGCAUUUUCAUUCUGAACUAAGGUAAGGGUGAGGUUUACUUCAUUAGUGUAGAUUUUAAAGUCUGAUUUUGGUUUUAACAGGUUUUGGAGUGAAAUUGAAGAAUUGGGUAUUAAUUGAAUUUAUGGUUUUUGGGGUAGAUACUGCUGUUCUGAUGUUAGAAUUCAGUUUUGGUUGCAUAGAAACAUUCAAUUCUCAUCUGUAAACUGAUUUGGGGAGUGAUUGGAAGGAAAAUGGGAUUUUUGGGAAAACCAGUUUUCUGCCCGUACAGAAGUUCAUCGCUCGCCUCGCGAGUAGCUGUGCUCGCCAUGGCGAGUGAGCAACUUCAUAGCUCGCCUCGCGAGCAGUCCAACUCGCCAUGGCGAGUAGCCCAGAUUAAAACUUGAUUUUUGAAAAGUUGUUAUAAGAUGUUUUGGGGAUGGUUUAAGGUACCUAGAUGAUAAUAAAGAUGAAUGGUGGAAGUUUUAGGUUAAAAAGAUGAAUAGGGAACUUAUAAUUGGGAUUUGAGUGAGAAAAUGGCUUUUCCCGAGAGCACCUGAUUUUCACUCGCCUCGAGUUCGCCUUGAACUCGCCAUGGCGAGCUAGUGUUUUUGUGAACUCGCCAUGGCGAGCAGAUGUGCUCGCGAGGCGAGCUGCACAGUUCCUGAGUGUGGUUUUGCUAGCUUGAAUAGUGGUGGUUGUAUGUUGUUGUAUUUGGGCAUGGUUAUAUAUAAUUAUGCAUUAUUUUGGUUGUUUGAACUGCUGGAUCGAUGAUUAUUGAUGAUGGUUGAAUGUAUGUUAUUUAUUGAAUCAUACAUAUUAUUAUAGUGGAGUCACAUGUUGUUGCAUUGCAUGGUCAGUUGUAUGUAGAUAUCCACAAGUAGGUCCAUUGCAUAUGCAUAAAACAGCGGUGAGGGCUUCGGUCCUGGAGUACUAGUUGCUCAACAGCGGUGAGGGCUUCGGUCGUGAUGAAUGCUUUAACCAUUCAAAAGCGGUGAGGGCUUCGGUCCUGUUUGGUACCACAUGCAUAUUGCAUUUCAUUUAAGAAGUCUAAGAUGGUGUCUUAGCAGUGGUCAUGUCAAUUGCAUGAAUCUUGGUUGUUGAUUUCAGUUAUUAAUUGAUGGAUGAUGUUGGUGUUGAAUAUACAUUUAUAUAUGUUCAUUGUGAUCAUGGUGUAUUGUUGUUGUUGUUGCUGCUUGUAACUUAUAUAUAUAUAUAUAUAUAUAUAUAUAUAUAUAUAUAUAUAUAUAUAUAUGUUUACAAGAUGAUAAGUUUGUUGAUUAGGGUGUUAGAUUCAAUUGAAGAUUUUAAUAUCUAUAUUUAUUGUUGUGAAUCUCACCCCUUCUACUUGAAAAUGUUGCCCUUCCUAUGGGUAACUUGCAGGUGAUCCUGAGUAGUUGGUGGUGGUGUCAUUUAUAUUAUUGUUGUUUCUUUUCCUUUCCAUGUAUCAAAUUUUGGAAUUGUGAUGUGGAGCCUUUACUAUCUUUUGAACAAUGUUGUUGGAUUAUGCCAAGGCCUUUAAUGCCGUAGGCUGAUGUUGGAUUGAAAACUAUUCCGCUGCUAUGUUUCCAUUUUUAUCAAGUGGUUUAAUUAAAUAGUUUUAUUUUCUAUUUAAGAAAUUUUGAAAUUGCAAUGUAGCAUACCUGUUUGGUGAAAUACUCUGAUGAUUAUUUGUUAUUUAAUUUGUUUUGAGUAACGGGGUGUUACAGAAGAGAUAGCGAAGGCCGUAGAGAUUUUAAUGGGAAGUGGCCAAGAGAGCAAAGAAAUGAUGAUGAGAGCAAAGAAACUUGGUGAGGCUGCCAAGAGGAUUAUAGAGGAACGUGGACAUUCUUACAACAACUUGAUUCAGUUGAUUGAUGAGCUGAAAUCAUUGAAGAAAUCUAAAGCACUUGGUGAGAAAGCAGAUUAGAUAAGUCAAAUGAAGGAGUAAUGUUUGAUGCUUCAGGAGGUGUAUCUGAUGAAGGCUUUCAAUAAGAUGAAAGAACAUCCAAUUUUUUUUCCUGCUUUUGUUUAGCUUUUAUCUGGAGUCCAAUAAAGAACAUCCAAUCAUUCUUGUGCCUUGCAAUGAUGAUAAAGGACGUUAGUUUUUAAUUUUACUAAGUAAUUAUCAUAUUAAGCUCUGGCUUUAAAUGAGCCCCCACAAGUGGCAGUGGGAUUGGUACCUUUAGAUUAGUCGGUUCUUAGAUUGGAUAUCGAGUUUUUAGAAGAAAAAAAAAUCAUAUUAAGCUAAGAAAAUAAUGUCAUGAGCCUUGUAUUAUACUUCAUUCUCGUAUUGGUUCAUCGCUACAAAUAUUUUAGUGUUUCAUCGGUACAAAGUGCAUAGGAGCAACAACUCAACAAAUGUCAUUAUUGCUUCUAAAUCUUACGCUACAAUGGUUGUAAACUGAUGAAUCGUAAAUAUUCCCUAGCUGCCAUUGAUCCAAUAGUUCACUAUGAAACACCGAUAUAAACAUGAAUAACGGGACAUGACACUGAUAAAUCGACAUUGAUAAUAUAUUAAGAAUAUCCUUUGGCCUUUACCAUAUCCAUAUCCCAUAUACAUUUCUACCUUAAUUAGUAGUAGUAAAGCCGGGGUUCGAACCCCGGACACUCCACUUCUCCACAAUUAAAUUGUGUGAGCUCUAACUAGUAGGCUACUUGACAAAAAAAAAAUAAAAAAAAAAUGAACUAAGAUAUUCCAAAGUGAUCCAGUAAUACUAAAAAGAAACCAUGCUAGAAUUUUCACUUCUAUAUAAGCUACAAAAGCAUCAGAGUUUGCAUUUUUCCAAUUUUCACACAGCACACUUGUAUCAAAAGCUCGAUCGUCACACACUUUUUGGUCAUGAUGCAAUUGCAAUCUUACCAACAAUCUGUAAAAGGGAAAUAACACGUGAUCGUUGUGUAAUAGUCACAUUUUAAGGUUUAUAAUCCCCAAAUUUAUCCUAAACUCAAUAGCUUUAUCUUCAUCUAUGUUUGAUUCAUCAUUGAAAAGAAGACAAAAGUCAUUGCGGUGCUGAGUCUCUGCUGGUUACUGCUUGGAGUGAUGAGAACCCACGUAGGAAAUUGCGUGGUUGUGGUCGCUAGUAUGAUGAUAACGUAACAUGCAUGAGACAAAAGAAAAACUUUUAAUCUGUGUGCAGGUGAUUGUUUUCUUUUUCCAUCGUUUUGUCAAUAGUAGCAACCUAAAUGAUAAAUUUAUUGCAACCUAAUAUGCUUUUGAAAGCUAGCAUUUAGGUAGUUACGUUAAUCUAUGAUUUAUUUUUUGUUAUUAGAACUCAACGUUCAAAUAAAUAGAUGUGAGAAAAGAAAUGAAACGUGUUCAUGAAUUUACUAACCAUUUUGGAAAAUUAAUAUGUAGAUAUGUACAAUUUGCUAAUAAUAUUCUUUAUCUUAUUUAUUUAUUCGAUACUGCACUUGAGUCUACUUGCUCUUUUACUCAUCCAUUUGAGUUUUCCUGCUCUUUUUUUUUAACAAUGUAUGUUCUCAUUUCUAUUAUUAUUUAUCUUUGCUUGCAAUAUAUGCUUUUGUUAUUCAGCUUGAGAGUUUCUUUUGUUGCUUCAUAUAUAUAUAUAUAUAUAUAUAUAUAUUAUGAUUAUGUUGAUUUUUUCAUCUGUAAUCACCAAUGAAUUUCUCUGUCCCUGCAGAAUUAAAUGAGACAAUGGCUUGCAUAACUUCUUCACUAUGGUUUGGAGCUUAUCAGGUUAUCCUCUGUAACUUUAGGUUUGUGAAUCAAGUAGAAAGGAUACACAUAUCAUCUAAAUUAAGCAUCAAUUAUUUUUUAGUAGUAUAUGAAGUUUAUUUUUCUAGAAAAUACCAAUGCUCUUAAACCAAAUAGGUGUUUAUGUGUCAAUUCCUUUAUGUAAAUUAUAUUUCUUGAAGAAUGAUAUUUGUACAACUAUUUUUUUGACAACUUUUAGACAACUUUCUCUCUCAUAUUCACAUUAUAUUCUUACUCUCCCUCUUUUUUUUUUUUUUUUUUUUCUCUCCAUCGUUUUUCACCAAUAAAAAAAGAGAAAAAUGAGGUUGUCGUAAAAGUUGUUAGUUGUCAUACCCCAAUUUUUGACCCAAGAUGCCAUUGACACGUGUCCUUUAACCCCGACUGAUGUCAGCCUUUUCAUUAAAAAUUUCGACAGGAAAGUAUUUUAAAAUACCUCAUAUUUUGGUUCCGAGUCGGGCCCUCUUCUCUCAAUUUUCAAUUUUUUAUUCAAAUUUUAUGUUUCCAUCUUUUUAUUUAGAAUCCUUUUUUUUAUUAACUUUAAAUUCAUUUUUUUUAAUCUUUAUUUUAUCUCAUUUAUAUUCAUUUUUAGUCCUUUUAUUUUAUUUUUAAUAUCCAAAGAAAAAACUAAAAUGCUGUCCGAUAAUAUCCAAAUAAACAGUACAAAGCCUCAUGCUUCCUCUCCAAGCCACAAAACGGCUUCCUCUCCAAGCCACAAAAACAGCCUGUCAUGUUCCUCUCCAAGCAACAAAAUUGUCUUAAUCACAAGCUCUAUAAAUAUAACAUUACAGGCACAACCACAAAGGGACAGAAUUUCAAUUGCAAAACCUGCAAAUCACAUAACACAACAAUCGUUUUCUGAAUCAACACAACACAAUUUUUCAUCAUCAUUUCCGCACAAUGUUUUAACCAAGAACCAGCAACCAAAAUCCAACACCAAACCACCACAACCAUCGAACCAAGAUCCAAAGUAAAAGAGGUAUAAAGAUUUUUCUUUUUCUUUCUAGAUCUAGGAUAAACAGUGUUUGUUUUAGAAGUUUUGAACCUAGAAUAAAAAAGAGAAGAAGAAGAGGUCUUUAAAAACGUUUUUUUUUUAAAAAAAGGGGAGUUUUUUUUUACCGGCGCGGUGGCGCCGCCGCGACAACUCGCCGGCCACCGCGCCGGAAACUAAGUUUCACGGUGGUGUUCUUCAACACUCACCGGAAACUUCAUCAAAAAAAAAGAAAGAAGGAGAAGAUAAGAAGAGAGAGAAGAGAGAAUACGUGAAAGAAAAAGAGAGUGAAGAGAGAGAAGAGAAAAAAAGAAAUGAAGGAAAAAGAGAGAAAUGGGUAUUUAUACCCCUUUUAUUUGGCAGAUUAAAUCAAGGCCGUUGAUCAAAUCAACGGCCGAGAUUCGAUCUCUGAGGUCCAGCCUUGUUCUUGGCCCAUCUUUUUCGUUUUAUUUUCUGCACCCUCCUUUACUGCUCACACACACCCCAGCAUCUCAUUUUUCUAAUUUCUUUUUCAUGCAUUUUAAUUCUCGCUCUAUCUGUUAAUCCAGAGUGCUCUGGUCCUCAGUUAACUGUUAAUAUUAUAAUUAUUCUCCAGAACAAUCUGGUCCUUAAUAAUUAAAUUAAUCCAGAGUGCUCUGGUCCAAAAUUAACUUAAUAUUAUAUUUUUGUUUAAUUUAAUUAUUCUCCAGAACAAUCUGGUCCUUGUUAAUUAAAUUAAUUCAGAGUGCUCUGGUCCUAAGUUAAUUGUUAAUAUUAUAUUUUUGUUCUCCAGAGUGUUCUGGUCCUAUAUAUAUUAAAUACUAUUUAUCUUGUUGAACUAACGUAAACUAACAAUCUUUUCUUCACACCCACACACUUUUAUUUUCAUUGCUCUGUUAGUUUAAUUUUCAUUUACUAUUCAAAAACAACAAAAACAUUCAAAUAUCAAAAAUCACAAAAAACAUUUUCAUAACAAACCCUGACUUUCAAUCAAGUGAUCGUUAUUUUUAUUUUCUUUCUUAAUCAAAUUUCAAAUCAAUUCUAAUUUUACUUCAAGUCUAUUUCUUUCAAUAUAAAAAACACAAACAAAUUCCAAUUUGCCACUUGGCUUUUUAGUUUAACUUUUUUUCAAAAACUAAUAAAAAACACAAAACAAAUCAAACGUCAAUUUCUACCCCGAACUACGAGGUUUUGAUCCCUCACGGGUACGUAGGCAGAGGACCUUGUCCUUCCAAAUCAAUUAAAAAAACAAUUUUCUUUUUUUCUUUUCAACUUUCAACAAAAAAACAUUUUUCUUUUUUCUCUUCAAUUAAAAUCAAUUUUCUUUUCUUUUUUUCAACUCAUCAUUCAAUUCCAUUUUCAUCUCUUUAAAAGCAAGCAAGUUUAAGCACAAAAAGUUAAAUAAAAUCAAGAGGUUCUCGUAGAGUACUACGAAUAUUUAGGGUGCUAAUACCUUCCCUAAAUAUAACCAACCCCCGAACCCUAAAUCUUUUCAAGAUGGGUGGUUUGGAACAUUUUCCCCUAAAAAAAAUUUGUUCAGUCGUGAGAUAAAAAGCGAGUCAAAAGCUAAUCAAAUGGCCUUGACCUCCGAAAAAUGGCGCGACAUUAGUAAAUGAUUGUUCAAUAUCAUUGCUCUUCUAAAUUGUAUUUCUUGCAAGAUCUUUGAAUUUUUCAUUUUCCUUUUCAUUCCAAAAUUGCUAGAAGACAUGGACUUAAGAGGUAGAAAAAGAGAGAAAAUUUAAAGCACCAAAGACUUCUAAAACGAGACUUGCUUUUGAUUGAUAUAGACUGUCAAUAAUUUUUAUACAUUGGUGUGUGCCUUUGUAUAACUUUUGCGCCACAAUUAUGGAGCGGAAUUCUUCGCAUAAACCAUUUAUGUGGACUACAUGUAAACAUGAAAUUUAUAUUGCUAAUAUUGUGUAUAAUUCUUCCUAUUUCAUGUCAUUUGCAAUUUUAUUUUUCUUUUGGGGAAAAUUGUUCAAAUGUAAUGUUGAUCGAGGAAUAAGACAAAGGUACUUCAUCUGUUCAAUUUGUUUGGAUUGUUUAUUCGACUUAACCAUUUGUUUUAACUAUUUCUUUGGCUAAAUUGCACUUUUGGCAGCCUAAGUUUGAAAAUGUUGCGAUUUUGACCCUCUAUUAAAAAAAAUGGAAAUUUUGGCUCCCAUGUUUAGGGAAAUAUGCUUUUUUGACCCCUAACAUAAGGGAAAUAUGAUCUUUUGACCCCUUAUCUUCUCAAAAAGUUGCGAUUAUGGCCCCUGUUUUGGGACACGAGACAUCUUCUCUGCAAUUUUGGAACAAAAGGGGCCGAAAUUGCCAUUUUUUUAAUAGGCGGCCAAAAUUACAACAUUUAUAAACUUAGGAGGCGAAAAGUGUAGUUUAGUUUUUUUUUUUUUUUUUUUUUCUUUCUUCAAUGAAAGUUGAAUGAUUUUGAGUUUUGUUGCCAAUUUAAAGACAAAAAGUACUUCCUUUUUGGAAGCAAAAUUUGUGAACAAACCACACUUUCCAAGCUUUGUGCUUCUUAUCAAGUUGACUUAUUUGGAGGUCUUUGCCACUUAUGUUUAUAUUCUGUGUUGGAGUGACUUUUCUUUCAUUUAUCAUUCUGUAAGUAUAAGUUUAUUGUCUUUUUAUAUUGAUUACUUUUUCUAGAAAAAAUAACAUGUUAAAUAGGACCCCUAAAAAAACAUGUCUGGGUUUUCACAAGGUUCACCGUAGGUUACAGUUUCUAGAGUUACUUCAUUAGAAAGGUUGAGGAUAUUGAUAACCAAUGAAGUGGUUAAUAUAUUAAUAUAAAGGGAAAUAUGGUUUAUUGAGAAGUAUUUCUUAAUUUAUGAUAACUAAUUAUGUAUGUAAAUUUUCCAAAAAUAUGAAUGUGUUGGGUCACGCCCACAUUUGUCUAGAGUAACCACACAAGUGUGUAAGAGAGUGACCAAACUUUAAUCCAAAAUUUUAAGGUAACGAGUUUAUGAGUUCUCUUACUUACAUCGUUCAACCUCCGAUUUUUUAAAUAAUGUGAAAUUUUUAACUGACACUGAAAAAUGUUAAUGUUAAUACAUUUUCAUCAUAUGACUUAUUUGACAUCGUUUUUUUUUACGGUAUAAUUUAUUUGUGUAUUUUAUAGUUGCUAGAACUCGUGCGUAGCACGGGUCAAAAUAAACUGGAUAACAAUCUGGUGUGGCUAUAGCCACACUUAGUCAUACGAUGGGUCCGCCCCUGCAAUCAUAAGGAAGAAACAAUUCAUCAGUUUUUGGGCAAAAUAAAGCUACUAUCAUUUUGAUGGCUAAGACAAAACAUGUAAAUCUUGCUUUUAGGUUAUCAUAAUCGGUGUUCUAUUUUGGUGCAUCUUAUGUUAGGUAGAAUGUUUUUUAGAGCCCGUUUGUUAUAACUUUUUUUAAGAAUUUAUUUAUUUUUAUUUUAAAAUAAUCACUUUUAAGAGUAUUGCAUCCAUUUAUUACAACUUUUUACAAAAAUCAGAAUCUAAAAAUAGCUUCGAAUGAGAAGUUGUUAAGAGUUGCUGCUUCUCAAAAAAUAGAUUUUUGUUAGAGGAGAGAGAAAAUACAAGUUAAAAGAUUGAAUUGAUUUUUAACAAAAAAAUCCCUAUAUAGAUGUAUCUAAACAAACGAAAUUGUUUUUUUGUUAAAAAAAAAAGUGGUUUUUUGCGCUAAACAAACACAAAAUAGAUUCUGAUUUUUUAUAAAAUCUCUAAAAAUUAAUCUCUAAAUAAUUUUAUAUGAAAACUAUUUUUAUUUUAAUCCAUAACAAAACAGGUCCUUAAUUUGUAAUAUAUAUUCAAUUUUGGCUUCUUAAAAAAAAAAUUGCGGAAAAGAAAUAUUCACAUUUUGGUACCAAGGAAAAAUGUUUUGUGCUGGUAUUGCUUCAUUCAUGAUACUCGUGGGUCUCGCCUCUAACGAGACAAAUACUUAUUAUACACUAUUAAAUAUCAAUUCUGCUAGUAAUAGAACCAAGCAACAAUUUGCUAAAAAUAAAAAAACAAGCAACAAUGGAGUCUCAAUCUCUGCAAUUCCAUAACCAACUUCAUGUUGUUUUUCUUUCAUAUCCAAGUCCUGGCCAUAUGAAUCCUAUGAUUGACACAGCAAGACUAUUUGCCAUGCAUGGUGUUAAUGUUACCAUCAUCACUACACAUGCUAAUGCCUCAACAUUCCAAAAAGCCAUAGACAGUGACACCAGUUUAGGAUACUCCAUUAAAACUCAACUUAUUCAGUUCCCUUCAGCUCAAGUUGGUCUCCCUGAUGGUGUUGAAAACAUGAAAGAUGGAACUUCAACAGAAAUUAUUGGUAAAAUCGGCCUUGGAAUAUCAAUGCUUCAAGAUCCAACUGAGGCUUUGUUUCAAGACCUUCAACCUGAUUGUAUAGUGACAGAUAUGAUGCUUCCUUGGACGGUCGAAGCAGCUGCAAAACUAGGUAUUCCAAGAAUUCAUUAUAACAGCUCAAGCUACUUCUCCAACUGUGCAGAACAUUUUAUCAUGAAGUAUAGACCAAAUGAUAAUUUAGUUUCUGAUACACAGAAAUUUACAAUUCCUGGUUUGCCUCAUACAAUUGAGAUGACUCCUCUGCAGCUUCCUUUUUGGAUAAGGUCACAGAGUUUUGCCACUGCCUAUUUUGAAGCAAUUUAUGAAUCACAGAAAAGAAGUUAUGGAACACUAUGCAAUAGUUUUCAUGAACUGGAAAGUGAUUAUGAAAACAUUUGUAACACUACCUUGGGGAUCAAAUCUUGGAGUGUAGGACCAGUUUCAUCAUGGGCUAACAAGGAUGAUGAAAACAAGGGGAAUAGGGGACACAUAGAGGAGCUUGGAAAAGAGGCAGACUGGUUAAAUUGGCUUAACUCAAAGCAAAAUGAGUCCGUACUGUAUGUAAGUUUUGGAAGUCUAACUAGGCUUGAUAAUGCUCAGAUUGUAGAAAUUGCACACGGUCUCGAAAAUUCAGGUCAUAAUUUUAUAUGGGUUGUAAGGAAAAAGGAGAGCGAUGAGAGUGAAAACAAUUUCCUUCAAGAUUUUGAGGAAAGGAUGAAAGAAAGAAAAAAGGGCUAUAUCAUAUGGAAUUGGGCACCACAGCUCCUUAUAUUGGAUCACCCUGCCAUAGGAGGAAUUGUGACUCAUUGUGGUUGGAACUCAACUCUCGAAAGCUUAAAUGCUGGUUUGCCAAUGAUUACAUGGCCAAGGUUUGGCGAUCAAUUUUACAAUGAAAAGUUGCUCGUUGAUGUUUUGAAGAUAGGGGUUUCAGUAGGAGCAAAAGAAAACAAGAUGCGGACUAGCACUGAAAGUAAAGACGUAGUGGUGAAAAGGGAAGAGAUAGCGAAGGCUGUAGAGAUUUUGAUGGGAAGCGGCCAAGAGAGCAAAGAAAUGAGGAUGAGAGCAAAAAAGCUUGGUGAGGCUGCCAAGAGGACUAUUGAGGAAGGUGGAGAUUCUUACAACAACUUGAUUCAAUUGAUUGAUGAGCUGAAAUCAUUGAAGAAAUCUAAAGCACUUGGUGAGAAAGCAGAUUAGAUAAGUCAAAUGAAGGAGUAAUGUUUGAUGCUUCAGGAGGUGUAUUUGAUGAAGGCUUUUAAUAAGAUGAAAGAACAUCCAAUUUUUUUCUUGCUUUUGUUUGCUUUUAUCUAGAGUCCAAUAAAGAACAUCCAAUCAUUUUUGUGCAUUGCAAUGAUGAUAAAGGACGUUAGUUUUUAAUUUUACUAAGUAAUAUUCAUAUUAGUUGCUUUGGCUUUAAAUGGGGCCCUCACAAGUGGGCAGUAGAAUUAGUCGGGUCUUGAAUUAGAUAUCAAGUUUAAAAAAAUAAAAAUAAAAAUUCAUAUUAAGCGAAGAAAAUAAUGUCAUGAUGAAUUAAAUUUCCUUUCCUACUCUGGUUUGCCUUGUAAUACUUGAUUUUCGUAUUGAUUCAUCACUAAAAAUACUUUAGUGUUUCAUCAACUCAACAAAUGUCAUUAUUGCUUUUUUUUUUUUGUCAAGUAGUCUAGUGACUAAAGCUAACACAAUUUAAUUGUGGAGAAGUAGGGUGUUCGGGGUUCGAACCUCGGCCCCUUUAUGCAUUUGUAUUUGAAACCAACACUCAGCACCACCACCUAUAUGUAUAUGAACUGUAUCAUUAAGAAUUUAUUCAACAAUUAAUCUACCUACAGAGAACUUAAGUAAACACGACAGUUGUUAUUAUCCUAUAUCUUGCUUAAGCUUAAGUUGUGAUCGAAGGAAUAUGAAUUGUUUCUAUAUUGAGAUCACAAAGUAAUUAGAUAUUGAUGUUGCAUAUUUAUAGGAACCAAAGGAUCCUACGAAUGAAUUAACAGUAACACAAACCAACAAGAAGAAGUAACAGAUAUUAAGGAAAAUAGGUUGCUUUAUUGAUAUGAAUGAAAAUAGUAAACUAGAGGAAGAAAGAGUUUCUCUAACUACUCCCAGAGCAAAGCUCAUAGAGGAAUCCUACUCUGGCCCUAAACAAAACUCAAUCCGUCAUACUCUAAACUCCUAAAAAUUCCACUUUAUAUACAAAUAAAGAGAACAUUCUAAUAUUUAACUCUAAUGGGCCUCUUAUUAUUAAAUCCUAAUCCUAACAGGCCACUUACUAAUAAUCUACUUAAAUCUAACUAACUAACUACUAAUUACUUAAAACACCACCUUAUUGGAUCCUAACACAUAUUCCAUUAUAAGUUUUUUCUUGACCACCUAAAAUCUAUCAUAAGUACAAAGCAAAUAGGGAGUUGAGAUCACAUGUGUGAGUUGUGACCAGAUAAAUGUAUUCUAGCAUUUUGCAAAAUUUGAGCAUCAUCAUUUUACAUUUAAUUUAACAAUUGAUUUCAUUUCCCUCCAUUUAUACUCAAAUUUAAAGAAUAAUUAAACAAAAACUUUCAUUUAAUUUAAGGGGAAUGAGAAGGUGGGUGGGAUUAUGAAAUAACGAUGAGAGAAAACGUGUCACGUAAGUUCUUUUCAAUAACGAAUACAAUUAAAUUGUAUCUUGGAAAAGGAAAGCACGUCAAAAUAAAAUAAAAUAUUAAUCACAAUCGACAAUAAUAAUUUGACAUUUUAUUUAGAUAUGUGUUGAUUUAAACUUAAAUUUAAAAUUAUUGGAUCCAUAUUCAAUAUCUAAAGUUAAAAAAUUCAAAAUUCAAUGAAAAAGAAGUAAAAAACAAAUAAAUCAACCCGCAGGAAAGGCCAUAUGAAAAACGCAGGAAUAUCCUCAGCAAAAUAAAAGUUUCCCGCCAAUUUUCCUACGGUACUUGGAUUCGUAGGAAACUUCGGAUUACCCUAAGCAAAAUCCUCAGGUAUUCCUGCGGAUUAAAUUGCGUAUGAAACUCCGCAUGAAAAUUAAGAGUUUCUACUGUGUACCUUAAUUAGUAGUAGUAAAAGUGAACGAAGGUAUUCCAAAGUGAUCCAGUACUACUAAAAAGAAAUCAUGCUAGAAUUUUCACAUAGCACACCUGUAUCAAAAGCUCGACCGUCACACACUUUUUGGUCAUAAUGCAAUUUCAAUCUUACUAACAAAUUGUAAACGGGAAGUAAUACGUUUUGUGCAACAACCACAUCUUAAGGUUUAUAAUCCCAAAUUUUAUCUCAAAUUCAAUAGCUUCAUCUUCAUCUAUGUUUGAUUCAUCAUUGAAAAGAAGACAAAAGUCAUUGUGGUGCUGAUUCUACGUUGGUUACUGCUUGAACCGAUGAGAACCCACUUAGGAGACUGCAUGGUAGUACGAGAACUGUUAAGAGGAAAGAUGCAUUGAAAAAGGGAGAAAUACAGUUAAGUGUUCCGUCAACGGGCUGAAACUCUUGUACCAACUAAAAUGGAAAAGAACACAAAAAAUGGCAGUUUGGAUUAUUUAUACUUCAAAAAAUUCUUUAGUUAACUCCAACUUGACAUUCUUUUAAGAAAAUGAUGAUAUGUUUAUAUUAGUUCACCAUAAAUAUGAUUGCGAGUUCAGUUUAAGGAAAAUAAAAGGUAAGGGCGGGUGCGAGUCGGCCAACAUGUUUAUAAAACCAGAAAAUUCAGUUUGGCACAUUGAUGACAUGUUAUCUUAUUCUUAGUGUAUUGAUUUUUUUGUUGGGUAUUUGUAUCGGUACAUUAUUGCUAAAACAAAUAUCCAUGUUUGUGAUAUUGGAUACUAUGUUCCAACAUGUUUCAGGCAUCUCUGUAAGAUGUUGGAUAUGAUGUUCCAACAUCCUGGCACGGUUCAGUGUGCCUGUUUGUACGCGUGCGUUAUCUUAUUAAGGAAACCACUUUCCCAUAUCUUGCUGAACAAGCAUCGCACAUAUCUGCACAUAAUCAGUUGUACUUUUAUUCCCAAAGGAGCAAUAAUAUUUUAGGAAAUAAUUGGAUAUGUAUGGACGUUCCGAAAGAUGCUCCUACUUUUUAGGAUUUUCCUUAUUUGUUACUGAUUCGCUGGACGAUCUAUUUUGUUCUGAAGCCCAACAAGGUUAAUCAGCCCAUAUUUCUUCAGUAUAUAAGGAAGACUUCAAGACCUAAUUAGGUAUUCAAGCCGUCAUUCUAAAAAGUCUAGUUUUAGGGUUUUGAGUCUUUGUGUGUCUACUCUUGUAUCGUGUUGAUGCAAGUUUAGUACUGUUUGUUUGUUGUGAUCCUUGCUUGUAUCUUCUUGAUACAUGUUAAGGAUUGUGUGUUGAGUUGUAACUCGUUGUGCUACACCAAAACUUUUAAGCAAGGUUGUAGUUGUUUGUUUGAAGGUAACUUCAUCUUUUGUGUGUUUGAAUCUGACAGGGGAUGUGAUUGGUUGUAGGAUAGUGAGAUGAGAUCUCAGAUCUAGGAGUUCCUAGGUUGAAAUCAAUACGGGUAGGUCUUAGGUCUUGUGUUGUAAAUGUGGUUUGCUGAGAACAUUAGAAUAAGGACUACACUAGUGGAUUUCCUUCCUGGCUUGAUAGCCCCCAGAGUAGGUGUCUUUGUCACCGAACUGGGUUAACAAACUCAUUGUGUCUUUUACUUUCUUGUCAUUUAUUUUUCUGUGUUUUAUUUGUUUGCAUGAUGUUGAAACAUUAACCGGAACAUCUGCCUACUGUGUGACUGACGUUGAAACAUUGCAUAAAACAUCUUAAAACUUGUACGCUAGAAUUUCAUUUUUCAAUCAUUUUUUUUUCAGUUUUGAUCAAAGUUAUAGGAGAUUUAGAAGAAUUGACUAUGGUUUUCAGGACAUUUUGUAAUGUUUUCAUUUAUAAUAAUGUAAUUAUAUUUUUCCCGAAAUCAAGCAAUUAUAUGUUGUUUUUGAUGUAAUUCAAGGCAAAAUCAUGCAAAUCGACAAAGCGAAACAUUUUGUGAAGAUUUGGGGAAGACAAUGAAUGAAGAUUCAAGAGAUCUCUGAAGACAUUACAAGAUGGAGAAAUUCUAAUCCAAGUCCCAAGACAAGUUAUAUAGAAGAAAACAUCCAAAAGACAAAGAAAGAUGUGAUUACACGCGAAAAAUAGUGUCGGUGCACACACGGUUGUGAUCCAGGCGCUCCCGGGUGCGCAAAAAACAUUCAUGCACCCCCGAGUGUGACCCGCGCGAGCCCGAGUGUUGUAUUUUGGGAAUUAACUGUUUUUUAAUACUUUUUGGUGGAAAAACCAGUUUUUAGCCCAAAACCCAGAUGGAAGCUUAUAAGUUUAUAAAUACAACUUCUCUUAUUCAUAAUUUUUCAUUCAGAACAAAGCAGUUCAAGAGAAAGGCAAGCACUAUGAGUUUCAAGGGAGGAGUCUCUCUCCUCACUUUAAGACUCUAGGGUAUGUUUUAUUUCUUUUGUAAUUUGUCUAGUUACCAUGAGUAACUAAACCCUAUUAGGGUAUGGUUAUAAGAUGAACCUCUGUUUUAUUUUGUUGGAUCUAUUUAAUUUAACACUUUUUAUUCAGUUAUUUUAUGAAUCCUGUUUAAUUUUAUGAUGAAAAUUCUUAAUGAUUUCACCCGAAGUGAGGCAACUCUGAGAUGACGGUAAUUAGGGAAGUGACAUACCUAAUGUUUGGUGAAAACCUACCCGAAUUAAGGAGUAACUAAGAAAAUGGUGUUAACAACCCGAAUUAGGGAAAGUGUAAUAACAUUAAAUGAACCUAGAAAAUAACAUAAUAAUCUUACUCUUCGUUCAUCCUUGGUAAGGUAGACGAGAUAUGGUUGUCCGUUUGUAGAACUACCGAGAGGGAGAGUAUGAUGCUAUACUUCUAAGAUUCAUAGAAGAGUGAACUUUUAGGACCAUUGAGAAUUUAAGAACUUUUAUUUAAAUAUAUACUUCAAUUACCUCUGAGAGAAUAACAAACACACGUAUAUCUGCGUACGAAGGUGCAUCCCCCUAUAUGAUUGACGACCCAAAGCAUUAACGUGCAUAGAAACUCUUGUGUAAUGGUUGCUACUCAACGGUUGGAGGGGAACAAAACCCCACGAACUCAUGACCUAAAUGGGAAACAUUUAAUCAAUCCAUGAAUAACUUGACUGUUACAUAAUUCCAACAAAUAAAUAAAGGGGAUUCAAAGAAUUCUAACUGCCGUUAACAUUCUGUAAUAAAAAAUAGGUUACUUUUAGACUCACACUCUGAAAAAACCAAUCAAAUUUCCAAACUCCCCCCUUUUAUUUUAAUUUUAUUUUAUUGUUUAUUUAUUUAUUUUUUAUUUGAAUAAGUAACGUGAAUUGUCUAGUUGAAAUGACAGUCUAUGUGGAUACGAUACUCUACUUACAUUUUAUUACUUGGUAAACGAUUUGGUACACUUGUCUAAAUCCAACCAUCACACACUUAAUGAUGGUCGAAAUUGGAUUUGUAAAACAACAACCAUCGGAGACCACAUCCGACCAACUUAUAGGUGUUGCUAACAGGUGAUAUAAAAUAUUCAUGACACAUAUGAGAGUUUCACGCGCUUGUGUGUUUCUUAUAUCUAAUUUUACGAGUAUCCACAAUGAAGAAAUCAAUUUUGAAUACUUAAAUGGAUCUUACGUGUGCACAUCACUCGUUUAUCAUUUUUUAAUAAUAGUAACUAGUAAGUGAAGGGAAAUCAUGAUCAGAAUGGCAGCGAAAAUAUAAAAUUUGACUUCCUUUUCUAUGGAUCAUUAUGAAUUUGACAUAACUAAGUAAAAAUAUUGUUACCUUUUGAAGUGGAGAAACAAUUUCUUGAUCACAACAAAGCAACGUAGUAGUUCCUCUAUGUGUUCACACGAACAGAUCUCCUUUGGUUCCCGAUGCUAGCCAAACGAUCAGAGGUUCAGAGAGAACUAUGGUUUGUAGUUUGCAUUUUAUGGUUUUAUAAAAUGGUACACGAAUUCUGUACAAAUUAGUUCUAUUUAUAGACUCACUUGGACGCACCAUAGCCUAUGGUGUACUAAUUUCCACUUAAAACGCAUACAAUGCACUGUGUUCUAUAAUUUAAUUAAUAAAUCUUAUUUAUUAACUUAAUUACAAAUAAGUUCUUACUAUUAAUUUAUAAAUAAGUCUCCCUCAUUUAUUUUCUCUCAUCUAUCUGUCAUAUGUGUGUUCCCUAUAGGUUACUGUCACGUUGGUAAUAAUAUUAUAGGCUUAAUUGGACUUUUGGUCCCCUAACUAAUUUGAUGUUUUCAUUUUGGUCCCAUAACUUCUAAAAUCAACGUUUUGGUCCCUUACAAAUGUCUCCGUUAGUCAAAUUAGUCCUAUUAUGUUAAUUUUAACAUCAAAUGUCUAAGAUGGACCGACAUGGUAAGUGGUCCACCAUAGACCUUAUUAAUUUAUUUAAUCUUAGCUCUUAGAUAAUUUUAAAACAAAAUAAACCCUUUAGAUUAUGCAAGACCAUUGAAUCCUGAUAGAAUUUUGGCAAGUGUACCAAAUACUAUCGAAGUAGUAAAAAUAUCGUUCCACAAGGACUGGUUUUAAUCUCAAUAAUUCAAUUACGUUGUAACUUAAGAUGUAUAAAGGUUCUUUUAAUUUGCCGCUAGGCAGUUGAUUGAUUUGUUUGCAUAAGCAAUAACAGAAAAUAAAGAUUGGUUUAAAGAAUAAGAGAGAGAUGAGUUUAGGUCUUUCGAAUCAUCUAUGUUCCCCUAAUUGGUAUACUGCACCUAUUCUUGUGAAAGAGUCACUAGUUUUACGAUAGUUAACAAAAUAGUCCUAAUCAAUCCCUUCAGUUAGGACCCUCUUCUAGGGUUAAAGCCCCUAAUUCCUUAGGUGGUCUAAUAACCUUUGAAGGUUUAAGCACGUUAACCUAAUAUCACUAACAAACGAUUAUCCAUUCCUAGACUAACCAUGUUUAUUAGAACAAUUCAAUUACGUCUAAGUCGAAAGCUAUGGUCAGUAGUCAUUCGUUCUCACUAAAUCAUGUUUAUAUUUGAUCAGGAUAUAAAAAGCAUUAAGAACAAUUGAAUUGAAUAAAAACUAGAUUGUCAUUCACAAAUAAUAGAGUUUCACAGCAACAUGUUUCAAUUAGGGUUACAAAGAAUCAUCUCAGACCUAACCUCUAAUGGAUUUAGCUACUCAUAAUGGUGUUUACAAAUAACAUAAUCAUUAGAGGAAUCAAUACAUACAUGAACUGGUAAAAGAGUGAAGAAAUUGCCCUUCUUGCCGUCUUGUAGUCUCAAAAUCGCACUUUGCUCUCUCCAAAUCGUCACCCUGUUUUUAGAAUAGUCUUCAGCUUAAAUAGGCACAGAAUUUCGCCUAAAAUCGUGUCACGAUUUAAGUAAAUCGUGGCACGAUCCUCUUUGAAUCGCAAAUUACUGAAUUAGGGUUUCCUCCAAUCGUGUCACGAUUCGACCAUCGUGACACGAUUUCUUCAAUGUCGAAACUGGAUUAAGUCUUCUCGAAUCGUGGCACGUUUUCUAGAAAUCGUGACACGAUUUGCUUCUUUGUAUUUUCUGCAGAAUUUCUGCUUUUCUUGCUGCAUAAGUUGGUUUGUGAACUCCAAAAUGUGAUAAAAAGUACAUAAAAUUUACGUAAUGACAAGAUGUCAUCACAACCCCAAACUUGAACCGUUCCUUGUCCUCAAGGAAUUCACUUGAAAAUUUGACAAAUGACAGUAAAAUAACAAUUACCUGGUCAAGUGAUAGUACUCCAAAAGUUCAACACCUUACUAGCUAAAGAUGAGCUAGUUUGACUUGUUAGCAACCACCAAUUCACAACUCCACGCAAACAAAUGAAAGGGUUCACACACAGACGACAUGCAAUCUACAUAUUACCAUAAGCUUGAAAGGUUUCUAAACGUCAAUCAAAAUCAUUUGUCAUAUUGUUUUCAUGAGACUGUUUUUUUUUCUUUUUUCUUUGUUCUCUAGUACCCCCACCCCAAACUUAGUUGGUUGCAAAUUCCAAUAGCAACCCCAAACUUAAUAUUUAGCAACAUUCUACAAUGCCUAACUCAGAAAAACAAUAAGGGAUAAAUCCUAAAAGUCUCUAAGCUUGUAAUGUAGUUUGUCACCGAACAAAAAGAUCUAAACCUACCGGCUCAAAUUGGCUAAAGAAAGGAUAAUUAUUCAAAUAUAAACAGGGUAGGCUUCAAAAGGCUCACAGGACCAAGCACUUUUGCCUCAGUGUGCUAAUGACAAAGAUCAAUCGACAGUAGAGAAAAAUUGCAAGUUCUAGAAAUGUAAAUGCAUGGAACACUCUUUAUAAGUAAAUUGGAAAAGGAAAAUUUGGCCAUGAACCUUACAGUUAUGAUUUCUGGGAGUUGUGACUACCUAUCUUUCGCUGCCGUACACUUCGCCCUUGAAUCACAAGUCACUCCUCCUUUUGAACUUUUGGAAUACCACUUGAACAACUAUUUGUUACUAAACUGGAAAAUGUCAAGUAAACAAGCAAAUUCAUUAAUAAUAAACAAGUUCAGGCACAAUUACAUCAACGGGGAUCAAACUAGAUAAACUAAAAAUGCAAAGACAAAUUGUUCGAACAUAAAACAAACAAAAGUACUGAAACAAAAACAGAAAAACUCAAAAUGAGUUGGACCAUCAGUAGUCCACUCAAUCCUGCAUCUGAUCCUCCGGAAUCCAUGUGGCUCGAUUCUCCUCUGCAAAAGUGUCUUCCCCCAAGUGAUACCUAGACUGACGAGAACCAGCAGCAAAGUCGUUCCUGAUCUCCUGCUCUCUAUCUUGAGCUCGACCUCUGGUUACAUUAAAGUAGUUAUCCAUAGCCUCCUCAGACCCAUCAAAUCUCUCAAAAGACCCGGUCAUAGCCCUCCUGUUGAGGCACACCGCCUCAGUGAACUCCUGCCCGAACCUAGGACGGUUCCAAUACUCCUGAGCAGAUACCUCAUUCAUCCAGAUAGCAUGGCCGAACAUGUAGUCCAGCAUCAUAGGAUGAAGAGGUGCAUAAGCACCUUGUUGGCUACUCCCCUCUCCAUGUACAGUCUGAGUUGGUGGUGGUUGUGACCGACGCACUGGCUGUGGCUCUGGCUGUCCUGCUGCAGCCGCUUCGGCGACCUGAAUAGCGUGCAGCCGCUCUUGGUAGUCCUUAGUGAAACUAUCCAAAUAAGUAUCAUUCAGUGGCUUCAUCAUGGCUGCACUUAGAUCAUUAGCGAACAGAUCGCAAUCUUGACUUUCGCAGAGCCAAUUGAUAAGGCUCAAGUGAGGAAUAGCUUUCUUUGUACCUGAAGCAAACAUAUAAAUAUUGUUGGCAAUCAACUCACCAACAUUUAUGGGUAAACCAUCAAGAAUAGCAGACACAGUAAGCAAUCGGGCCAGUGGAAUCUCUGAAGUACAAGAGGUGCCCUCCAAAGUUUGCACCACAAAAGAUGCCCAAGCCUUUGCGUAAGGUUUAAAAUCAGCCUUCAACAGCAUAUGUGAUCCUCCUUGCCAUUUGGCACCCUCUACACAAAGUUGAAGCAACAAUUCUUCCCACCUCUCAUCACUCCAGUCUUUGCACUCCUCCAUCAUUCUCUUGACCCCACACUCCUCCGGUGGCACAAUUUCCAGCAAAGCAUUAAUCUUCUCCGGGCUAUAGUCAAUCUCUUUUCCUCUCACAAAGGACACAUACCUCUGCCCCAUGAGCCGAGCAUUAGCAUAGAAUUCAAUCCCCAAUGUUUUGUUGGCUUGCUAAAAAAUCAUGGUGUUCAAAGACUCCCAACCUCUCAUGGUGAAGACUUGAAAGAACUCAGGGUUAGAUAUGAGUUUAGGGAAAUCAAAACCCCUCUCGGGAAUCACCCUAUAGCCACGGAUGUCUCUGAAGCGGUCUCUCGCGGCAUUGUUGUUGAACCUAUGGUUGACGGAUGGUGGUGGGGGGGCGUUUGGGUUUGGUUUGACUGGUUGUUGACGCUUGGGAGUGGGUUUGGCUUUCUUUGAUGGUUGAGUUGAUGCUUGGCUCUUGCCUUUGUUUCUAGUCUCCACCAUGGUUUUGGGUUAUGAAGGGUAAGUUUAGGUUUUGUGAUGGAGAUGAUGAAAUUGGGAUGUUUGUGGUUGAUGAUAAAGGGUUAUGGUGAUGAUUUGGUGAUUAGAAGAUGAAAAGAUGAAGAAUUUUGAUGGAAAAUGGGUGGUUUUUCGUAGGCUAGGGUUUUGGGAAAAUUUUGGCAGAGUUUGGCUACUUUUGGAAGUGAAUGGAAUGAAAAUCGUGUAGGGUGUAUUUAUAGGCUGAGAGAAUCGUGUCACGAUUGGGUUUUGUAACGGUCAGAAUUUUUGAAAACCACCAAAAUCGUGUCACGAUUGGGAGAAUCGUGUCACGAUCCAUCUUUUUUUGAAAAAAUAUUUUCCCAGAAAUCGUGUCACGGUUUGGCCAUCGUGCCACGAUUCUUGAUGUCGAGAGACACAAAAAUUAAACUUAGAAAAAUUUUGGAGGCCAAAAUUCGUGUCACGAUUUCAGUAUCGUGUCACGAUUUGGCAAAAGUCGAAUGACCCCAAAUUUUAACUUAGAAAAAAUUUUAAAAUCGUGCCACGAUAUGCCCAAAUCGUGUCACGAUUUUCCCCAGAGUUGACUGAAAAUUGAUUUUUUUUUCUCUGUUUUGUUUCAGCAAAAAAAAAAAAAAAAAAAAUUUACCUGCAAUAAAAAUGGUGGGUUGCCUCCCACCCAGCACUUCUUUACCGUCACUAGCUUGACUGCCAAGAACCUUAUAGGUCCUUUAGAACGAGUCCUACCCUCUCCUUGGGUAGGUCGCCACCCAGAUAUGGCUUAACUCUCUGCCCAUUAACUUUGAAACUUCGGUCACCUUCAGGUGUCAUCAACUCAACAGCUCCGUGAGGUAACACACUUUUUACCAGGAAAGGUCCAGACCACUUUGACUUGAGCUUUCCAGGAAACAGCUUCAACCUGGAAUUAUACAACAAAACUAGUUGCCCGGAGUUAAUAUCCCUAGAAACUAAGUUUUUGUCAUGAUACCUUUUUGUUCGGGCUUUAUAGAUGAGCGCAUUUUCAUACGCUCUAAGCCUCAUCUCCUCAAGUUCAUUAAGUUUCAAGAGUCUUUUCUUACCAGCGGCUAAUUGAUCAAAAUUCAAGGCCUUAAUGGCCCAAUAAGCUUUAUGUUCUAGCUCAACUGGAAGAUGACACGCCUUCCCAUAGACUAACUGAUAGGGUGAGAACCCUAGAUGAGUCUUAAAGGCUGUCCUAUAUGCCCACAGUGCGUCAUCUAAUUUCUUAGACCAAUCCUUCCUAUUUGACGCAAUUGUCUUUUCUAGUAUCUGUUUCAGCUGUCGGUUUGAAACCUCUACUUGAGCACUAGUUUGUGGGUGAUAAGGAGUCGCAACUUUGUGCCGGAUGUUAUAUUUUUUAAGCACAUUUUCCAGAAGAUUAUUGCAAAAGUGCUUCCCCCCAUCACUGAUCAAGACUCUAGGUGUUCCAAACCUAGUGAAAAUGUUCUUCUGCAAGAAGCUGACAACAGUUUUGGCAUCAUUAGCAACACAAGGUAUCGCUUCAACCCAUUUAGUGACAUAGUCCACACAAACAAGUAUAUGGAGAAAAGAGUAAGAGGAAGGGAACGGUCCCAUAAAGUCAAUGCCCCAACAAUCAAAUGGUUCAACUUCAAUGAUUCCUGUUAGGGGCAUCUCAUUCCUCUUAGAAAUACUACCUGUCCUUUGGCAUUUGUCACACCGUGCAACAAAGUCGUGGCAAUCCUUGAAAAGGGUGGGCCACCAGAAUCCACUUUGCAACACCUUAGCGGUUGUUCUUUCUCCACUAUGGUGGCCUCCAUAAGCUGAGCUAUGACAGUGCCACAUGAUACUAUGAGCUUCCUCACCUGCAACACAACGUCUCAUCAACCCGUCAGUGCUUACCUUAAAGAGAUAAGGAUCAUCCCACACAUAGUGGUUUGCAUCCUUGAAAAACUUUUUCCUCUGAUGAUACUCAAAGUCAUCAGGCACUAUGUUACCGGCCUUAAAGUUCGCCAUGUCAGCAAACCAAGGUCUUUCUCCAAUAGCAAACAGUUUUUCGUCGGGAAACUCAGCCAUGAUUGCUCCUUUUUUCUUAGUCACCUCCUUGUUGUCCAACCUGGAGAGGUGAUCAGCCACCACAUUCUCGACUCCCUUUUUGUCACGAAUCUCUAGAUCAAACUCUUGCAACAAGAGAAUCCACCUCAACAGUCGAGGCUUCGAAUCUCCUUUGGUCAAUAGAUACUUCAAUGCUGCAUGAUCUGUAAAAACAAUGACUUUGGAGCCUAUUAGAUAAGAACGGAAUUUUUCCAAUGCAAAGAUUACCGCAAGCAACUCCUUUUCAGUUGUGGCAUAGUUAACUUGAUUUUCAUUUAACACUUUGCUUGCAUAGUAAAUUGCAUGGAAAAAUUUGUUCUUCCGUUGGCCUAGGACUGCACCAACAGCAUAAUCACUUGCAUCACACAUAAGUUCAAAAGGUAAAUCCCAAUUGGGAGCAAUGAUUAUUGGUGCAGUUACACAAUCAAAGAAAAAGCAUUUACACAAUCAGAAUCAAAAUUAAACUCAUUUUCUUUGGUCAAGAGGUUACAAAGGGGCUUUGAAAUUUUUGAAAAAUCUUUUAUGAAACGCCGAUAGAAACCGGCAUGCCCCAAGAAACUCCUCACCACUUUAACAUUAACAGGCGGGGGAAGUUUUUCUAUAACCUCUAUCUUAGCUUGAUCCACCUCUAUGCCUUUAGCACUUAUUUUAUGCCCCAAAACUAUAACUUCGGUCACCAUAAAAUGACAUUUUUCCCAGUUUAAAACAAGGUUAGUUUCGGUGCAUCUUUUAAGGACAGCAUCGAGAUGAAACAAGCAUUGACCAAAAGACUUACCGAACGCAGAGAAGUCGUCCAUAAAUACCUCGAUGUUCUUCUCUAUCAUGUCAGAGAAAAUGGAGAGCAUACACCGUUGAAAUGUUGCCGGUGCACCACAUAACCCAAAGGGCAUUCUCCUAUAAGCAAACACACCGAAAGGACAUGUAAAUGCGGUCUUCUCUUGAUCUUCCGGGGCCACCGCUAUCUGAUUAUACCUCGAAUACCCAUCCAAGAAACAGUAAAACGCUUGGCCAGCCAACCUCUCAAUCAUUUGAUCCAUGAAUGGUAACGGGAAGUGAUCCUUCCUAGUUGCGGAAUUCAACCUCCGGUAGUCUAUACACAUUCUCCAACCAGUGACGGUACGGGUAGGUAUCAGCUCAUUUUUGUCAUUAGCUACCACCGUCAUUCCACCCUUCUUAGGCACCACAUGAACCGGACUCACCCAAGAACUAUCAGAGAUAGGGUAAAUCAUACCUGCAUUCAGCAACUUGAGAACUUCCUUUUUAACCACUUCUUUCAUUGUUGGGUUUAGUCUUCGUUGAGGUUGAACCACAGGUUUAUACUCAGCUUCCAUGUGAAUUCUAUGCAUGCAAUAAGCCGGACUAAUACCCUUUAAAUCAGAAAUUUUCCAUCCCAAAGCUCCUUGGUUUUCCCUUAACACUCUCAUCAAUUUUUCUUCUUCUAAAAGUGUCAAGGUGCUGCUGAUGAUUGCUGGUUUAGAGGUGUCCUUGCUAAGGAAAACAUACUUUAAGUUUGAAGGAAGUUCUUUUAAUUCUGGAUUUUUUUCUUCCUCCUUUCUUGAAGAUUGCGGCCCUUUAGAAAUUUCACCAAGUAUCUCUUCAAUUUUUACCGGUCCUAGCUCUUGUUUGCUUGCUUCGAGUUGUUUGAUGCAUUCCUUCACCUCAAGAUCUUCGUCAAGGUCACAACUUUCUAAAGAGUUAACAAUUGUUCUCUCUAGAGGCUGUGUUGGUUGAGGUGCACGAGAGUCAUCUUCUACAAUUUCAUCAAUAACAUCAAUCCGGUAACACUUAGGAUUUUCAGCCCGGUGCUUCAUAGCUUCAAAGAUAUUGAGCACCACUUGCUCGUUAUGGAACCUCAACAUCAGUUGUCCCAUCUCAACGUCAAUCAAAGCACGACCGGUUGCAAGGAAAGGUCUUCCUAGAAUGAGUGGCAUAUCUUCAUCUUCAGCCAUAUCCAGAAUUACAAAGUCACCAGGAAAUAUUAGAUCAUUCACUUUAACUAGUACAUCUUCAAGCACACCAAACGGAUAGGAGAUUGACCGAUCAGCUAAAGUGAGGGUCAUUCUUGUAGGUUUUGGCUCUCCACCUCCAAUCUUCUUCAUCAUUGAAAGGGGCAUCAAAUUGAUGCUUGCCCCUAAAUCACAUAAAGCACGUCCAAUGUCAAUCGGCCCAAUGGAACAAGGUAUAGUAAAAGCACCAGGAUCUUUAAGCUUAGGAGGAAGUUUCCUUUGGAGAAUAGCACUACAAUUCUCGGAAAGAGAGAUGUUCUCAUCAUCUUUUGGCUUUCUUCUCCCCGUUAACAUUUCUUUCAUGAAUUUAGCAUAAACCGGCAUUUGAUCAAGAGCUUCACCAAAAGGAAUAUUCACCUGAAGUUGUGAAAAGAGUUGCAUGAAUUUCUUGAACUGUCCUUCCUCCUUCUUCUUCUUUUUGGCUAGAUGAGGGUAUGGAAGCUUCACAUAAGAUGGGAUAAUUUGUGGUUUAUCCCCAUCCUUCAAAAUUUGGCUUUUAGACUUUUUCAAGAUCGAGUCUUCAUCAAUUAACUUCUCACUUUUUUCUCCCUGUUUUUUUCUUCCUUUCAUUUUCAACUACACCUUGAUCACUCUCUUUUUCAACUACUUCCUCAUCUUCAACAUCUUCAUCUACCUCCACAACAUUUUCAUCAACUUUCGUGGGAACUUUUGGAACUAAAGGUGUCAGAACCUUCUUGCUCCUUAACUCAAUAACAUUGCAAGUUUCAUUCUUAGGAUUCUCUUGAGUAUUACCUGAGAAUCUCCCUUUGUUCUGUUCAGCCAACUGCUUAGCUAAUUGCCCAAGUUGUGUUUCAAGCAUUUUUCUUGAGGCUUCAUUGUUCUUAUCAAGUUUUUGGCGCCGUUGCCGGGGACUGGUUUUAAUCUCAAUAAUUCAAUUACGUUGUAACUUAAGAUGUAUAAAAGUUCUUUUAAUUUGCCGCUAGGAAGUUGAUUGAUUUGUUUGCAUAAGCAAUAACAGAAAAUAAAGAUUGGUUUAAAGAAUAAGAGAGAGAUGAGUUUAGGUCUUUCGAAUCAUCUAUGUUCCCCUAAUUGGUAUACUGCACCUAUUCUUGUGAAAGAGUCACUAGUUUUACGAUAGUUAACAAAAUAGUCCUAAUCAAUCCCUUCAGUUAGGACCCUCUUCUAGGGUUAAAGCCCCUAAUUCCUUAGGUGGUCUAGUAACCUUUGAAGGUUUAAGCACGUUAACCUAAUAUCACUAACAAACGAUUAUCCAUUCCUAGACUAACCAUGUUUAUUAGAACAAUUCAAUUACGUCUAAGUCGAAAGCUAUGGUCAGUAGUCAUUCGUUCUCACUAAAUCAUGUUUAUAUUUGAUCAGGAUAUAAAAAGCAUUAAGAACAAUUGAAUUGAAUAAAAACUAGAUUGUCAUUCACAAAUAAUAGAGUUUCACAGCAACAUGUUUCAAUUAGGGUUACAAAGAAUCAUCUCAGACCUAACCUCUAAUGGAUUUAGCUACUCAUAAUGGUGUUUACAAAUAACAUAAUCAUUAGAGGAAUCAAUACAUACAUGAACUGGUAAAAGAGUGAAGAAAUCGCCCUUCUUGCCGUCUUGUAGUCUCAAAAUCGCACUUUGCUCUCUCCAAAUCGUCACCCUGUUUUCAGAAUAGUCUUCAGCUUAAAUAGGCACAGAAUUUUGCCUAAAAUCGUGUCACGAUUUAAGUAAAUCGUGGCACGAUCCUCUUUGAAUCGCAAAUUACUGAAUUAGGGUUUCCUCCAAUCGUGUCACGAUUCGACCAUCGUGACACGAUUUCUUCAAUGUCGAAACUGGAUUAAGUCUUCUCGAAUCAUGGCACGUUUUCUAGAAAUCGUGACACGAUUUGCUUCUUUGUAUUUUCUGCAGAAUUUCUGCUUUUCUUGCUGCAUAAGUUGCUUUGUGAACUCCAAAAUGUGAUAAAAAGUACAUAAAAAUUACGUAAUGACAAGAUGUCAUCAAAUCCACUAAUGAACGAUCAUCACAUGAUUUUUCUUUUCUUUCUUCAUCUUCUUCCUUCUAUUUCUUCAUCUUCAUCCAUCUUUAUUCAUCUUUAUGCUCAUUUAAACCCAGAACACCUAUACUCAUUUAAACUCAAAUCUUAUUAUGACAACAAGUGUAAUAACACAAAUCUUAUUUUCCUCCUCCACCGCGUCGAGCCCCGACGGAGGUCCUGCGAGAUCCUCGCCGCACCGGCGCAUCUGUGCAGCAUACUAUUAGAUCUCUUGAACGUCGAUGAUGCCAACAAGAAGAAGCAAACUCAGAUCUUCAUUCUCCUCUCUCUCAAUUUCCCAAGCUACAACACUUAACCAAAAAUAAAAACAUAGAAAAAAAAAUCAAUUGUUUGAAAGAGUGAAAUGGAAUUUGAUGAACAAGCGGAACAAGAAGAGGAGAUGGAGAUUCCAAAAACACAAACACCAGUGCCAACGAGUUAUGAUUGACUUGGUAAUUCAGCUUCACGUUCAAAACUCACCGUCGUAGUUGACGGAAGGAAAGGUAAUGGCAACGGCGGUUUUGUUUCGACGAUGAGGUACCUAGAAUGUCAGAAGAAUCACGCCGUUAGCUUCGGUGGCCACGCUGUUGACGGUUGUUGCGAGUUUAUCGCUGCCGGUGAAGAAGGAACACUUGAAGUUGCUAUUUGCGCCGCUUGGAGAAUUCAGAAUUCUGGAAUCCGAAUUCUUAUUCCUCCUUCCUGUUUUUGUGUUGUUGUGGUGUUGUGUUGCACGAAUCAGAUUCGCUUAUGUUGGUGAUGGAACCCAGGUCCGAAUUCUUCUUGGCUAUGAUGAGAUUAUGUGUUGUUGUGUUGAUUAAUUUAUGAAUUUGUAAGUUUAAAAUUAAGUAAUUUUGAGAUUUAUGGGUUUUGGAAGAAGAAGAAGAAGAAGAAGAAGAAGAAGAAGAAGAAGAAGAAGAAGAAGAAGAAGAAGAAGAAGAAGAAGAAGAAGAAGAAGAAGAAGAAGAAGAAGAAGAAGAAGAAGAGAUGAAGAUUGAAAAAAGAAUUUGAUUUUUUAUUUCUUUUAUUUUUCUGGGCUUAAAGGUAUGAAGAUGGAUGGAAGGUGAUGAAGAUUGAGAGAUGGAAAAGGUUUAUUGUGGUGUGUUUUUUUUUUUUUUUGAAACCGCAAAAACACACAAAAGAGAAAGAGAGAAAAAAGUGAAAAAAUUAGGUGAUGAGAGUUCACUAUUAACUACAAUGGACAUGCAAUCGGGUGGUUAAAAUCAUAUCAAAAAGUUUAGACAUUAAAAAAAUAACGGAGGGGAUCAAUUUGACUAACGGUGACAUUUGUAAGGGACCGAAACAUUGAUUUUAAAAUUUAUAGGAUCAAAAUGAAAACAACAAAUUAGUUAGGGGACCAAAAGUCCAAUUAAGCCAAUAUUAUAACAUAUUAUAAACAACAAUAAAUAUUUAGCAAUAUGUUAUUGUCACCCAAUGGAUGAGAUUGUCAUAUGAUCGGACGAAACUUUAUAUGUGAUAAUGAUCAUGUGUAUAAUUACCUAUUUGUCCUUAUGAUAUUGACCACAAGACAUAGAUUGUGUCAUCCUUAACUUAAUUCGGCAUAUGGUCAUACCAUUUUUUUUUUGAAGGAAAGGUGUUCAAUUUUAGAAUCAUAUUUCAUCAAAAGGUUCAAUGAUCCAGAAGUAUUGCUAGAUAUUCUAAACACAUUAUAAUCAAGAGGCCCUAAAUACAUGACGAUGGUCAUAUGAUGGUGUGCAUUUUAACAUCAUAUGUACUUUUUGACAGAUUAAAGUUAAAAAAUAGUUUAUUUUCGUGUAAGAGAAAACAGUCUAUCCACCAACGUCAAAGUAAUAAUAUAUUUUUCUUCUUUUGCUAAAAAUCAAUAUUUAAUUUGAAACAAGCCACCUCUUUUUUUCCCGAUGUCUAUUACGAAAGGCUAGAAGAAAAAUAAUAAAAGAUUCGUAAAAAAAUAAUGAAUUCGAAUUACAAAUAUUUUUAUAUGAGAUAUCUAUUCCAUGAGCUAAAGGGGUAACAAUCUUUUUAUGAAAAAGGGACAAAAAUGAUUCAUCAAUAUACUUUAGAGAUAUUUAAUAAUCCACCUGUUUUUUUGUUCAAAUAAUUAUUCGAAAUUUACUGAAGAAUUUCUUGAAAAACCAUAAUUAUUAUAAACUAUAUAAUUAAGGUAAACACACAGAUUAAAAACCAAUUCUAUAUUUUUUAAAUGCAAAGGUGAAAAAAAUGACAGUAAUCCUCAAGUUUGUCUAUAUUGCGAUCUUUUUUGUUUCUCUAAUUUUUGGUGUAGUCAGCGGUAAAAGUAAGCUCAUUCUCUUCUUUUUUGUUUUGUUUAUCUUCUACACAAUUUUCCACCCAUUUUUUUAUUAACAUUUAUUUAUUAUUAUUUUACAUUACAGAAAAAUGUGCUUCUGAAUCCGAUUGUUAUACGAUGUUUCCAGUUCCCCAUUUUAUAGUUAUGACGUGCAUCGAAAAGAAAUGUCAUAUUACUGGGAUUUAUUACUAAUUAAUUAAUUAAGGUAAACAAAAUAUUGAUCUAUUAUUACCCCUAAGCCUUUUUGUAUUACUUUGUUCAUCACACUUUCAUAUAUGUAUGUAAAUGGGGAUGCAUUGAUAUUUAAUCCAUUAAUAAACCAACUGUUGCGUUAUUAUCAUUAUAUAUUGACGAUGAAAGACAAACUUUUAUAUAAAUCCCAAAUUCGUAGCUAUGUAAACUAACGAUUACAUAUUUUUUCCCAAUAAUCUUAGUGUCUAGAAAUUAACUUUUUUUAAGGUGAAUAUGUGACGAAUUUGAGGUUCAAACCCCGAUAUAUGUAUACUAAAAUGUUCAUGUCAAUUGUGUUAUACUCACGAAGACAAUAUUUAAUUAUGUUUUUUUAAAAUGCAUAUGAUCAUUUAAAAUUAUGCAAUUAUGUAUCAAAAGAAAGGAGUACAUAUGCUACUCCAACAAAUUCAAGACAAUAUAGCGAAAUAUAAAAAAGAAUCAUAUAAAAUAUAUUAUAAAUUUGUUGUUAUCUUCAUUUACUAGUGAAAUGGUAUAGAAAUGCUUAAAUAUAAAUAUGAUCUACGUGUUUGAUAUAUGGCCUAAUAAAAUUAAAAUUCAAUUAUAGAACUCAACAUAGGAGAAUAAAUGAUUGAGUUUUACCCUUCAGGGUGUAAUCACGAACAACUAAGCGUGGGAAUAGGUCAGACUAACCUACAGAGGCUCAUUGUCUACCUUGCUUAGGCCUGAUCUGAUCUGUUUAUUAAAAACGUUAGGCUUAGGGUUUUUAAAAAACCUAAUUAAGUAAAUAGAUCAGACAUGGGCUAUAAAAAAACCUAAGAAGCCUGAUAGGCCAGCCCGUUUAUGCAUAUUUGUUAUACUUAUUUUUUAAUUUAUAUUAAAAUAUAAUUUAUUUUAAACAUAAAAAUCAAGGAACAAUUCAAACAAUGAACUGAAGUAGGUCUUUAAAGCCUUACAAUGAUGGACAUGUCUUACAUUAAAAUAGAAUUUUUAAUAGACUUAAAGACUUGUUUAGCCUAUUUAAAAGUAGGUAAAAUAGAAAAUUUAAUGGCCUUAACGUGAAAUAUGCAUGUAAAUAGGUUUUUAAGUCAGACCAAACUUUUAAAUAGACUAGACUUAGACCUGUAAAUUUUUUUAGACCAGGCUCCGACCUUUCUACGCAUGGCCUAGCCUAUUCCCGCUGCUGCGUAUAAUCACCUAAUAUUUAUCAUCUUAGUGAGAGUGUGAGAUGCCCAAGUGUCUAGAGAUGAAAUCUUAGUAACUAACCUAACAUGUAAUCGGUCCCGCAAUUGUAGCCGUUUUUGGUUCUUAUCACUGCAAGUUUUUUUUGUUGGGUUUCAAUAUAUCCAAUUUGUAAAAAAUUUGAUUAUGGUCCUUCCUUGCUAUGAGUGUGAGUCAUACGUUGAAAAAAAAAGGUAAUACUAAGAAAGUGAUUGUGGCAUAAAAUAAUUGGGUGAUGUGACACAAUAUAUUGUUUAAAUAUUGUGAGUGUGAGUCAUACAUUUAAAUAUGUUGUUUAUUGCAAAAAAUAAAUUUCACGAAAGCAUCCUGAUGGUGUUGCAAGCUAACACUCUUAAUUUUCUCCAACCACCCAUGUUUUCCACUAAACAAGAUCCAAGGAUGCAAAAACAUUGAGAUUGAUCGUGAUAUUUAUAUGUCCUAUGAAUAUAUAUGUUUUUAAUUAAAUAAAAUCUUCAACAUAAAUCAAAUCCAUCAAAAACAACAUCAAGAUCAUCAUUAUCAUCUUCUUUUUCCUGCACAACAUCAAGAUCACUCUUUUCAUCCUCAUCAUCUUCAUUCUUUUAUGUAGAAAUAAAAUAAAUAUUUGUUUACAUAAGUAGCUCAAAAAAAAAAAAAAAAACCAAGGUAUUAAAUUCUAUUAUAUUCUUCAUUCAUUCAAUGAAAUAGGGUUUCAAUCGCAAAUUCUCCACCUUUGAGUUCUCUUCUCUUUUCUCUCCCCUUCUGUUGUUUUCCUUCUUCAAUAUUCUCCAAGAUUGCUGAUAGUUGUAACCUAAGGUGACGAUCUUGAGGUGACCGGUACCACAUAUAUAUAGAGUCGUCUCUAAGCGUAUAACAUACAUUUGAUAAUUGGUGAAAUGUGUCAUGUUUUGAUUAUGUGCUUGAUGAAUAGUUGAAUUGGUGAAACUUGGUGACUCGUAUACUUGGUGAAAUCUGAUGAAUUGUGGAAAUGUACUUGUAUUCCAUCAUGCUUGUAUAUUUUGUGGAUUGCUGAUGAUAUCGAGUUAUUUAAAUGCUCUUUAAUCAAUGGAAUUUAAUUAUGUCGUUAUUUUUCAUUUGAUUAAGUUUAAUUGUGAAUUGUGAACUAACCCCUAGUGAUCGUUUGAUUGACCACCUACCUUAUUCUCUGAAUGGGUAGACGGCGUGCAAGACUAGUUUGCUUUGCUUUGGUGAGUAGCUUGAGGAUAGCUUGGAUGCUACCUUGUUUUACUGCUUUUGGUGUCUUAGACUUUAGGGCUCUGAUUAGGGGUCGGUCUUUGAUGUUAUCUUUAUUAUACUGUUGAGAAUUUUGAGACUAUGUACUGAUGAUGAUACGUAAUUUCGAGACAUGGUUAUUUGGAGACGUAAUUUAUUAUGGAUGACUGUUGAGAUGAUUUAUUUAAAUGUCGAUGUAAUGAUGUUUUUGUUCCACUGCGAUGUUUGAAGAAAUUAUUAUGCAUGCUUGGUGAUUUAUUGAAGAAGUAACAUAUAAAUUCUUUAUAUGGUUGUAUCAUUAGCGUAAUUUAUCGCUUUUAAAGUUUAAGGUGUUACAAGAAUCUACCGCUAGGUUAUGUGGACAACAUAUAUAAUGAAUUGUUUAGGUUUAUUAUAUGAAGAAAAAAAAAUUGGGUAAUAAUCUGGUGUGGCUAUAGCCAUACUCAGCCAUACGAUGAGUCCGCCCAGCAACCAUAAGGAAGAAACAAUUCAUCAGUUUUUGGGCAAAAUAAAGCUACUAUCAUUUUGCUCGCUAAGACAAAAUAUAUAAAUCUUGCUUUAGGUUAUCAUAAUUGGUGUUCUAUUUUGGUACAUUUUAUGUUAGGUAGAAUGUGUUUUAGAGCCCGUUUGUUAUAACUUAUUUAAGAAAAAAAAAUCAAUUUUUUUUCAAAUAAACAAUUUUAAGAUUAUUGCAUCCAUUUGUUACAACUUUUUUUAAAAAAAAAAUCAGAAUCCAAAAAAAAAAAUCUAAAAAGAGUUUCAAAUGAAAAGUUAUUAAUAGCAGCUUCUAAAAAAUAGAUUUUUUUUAUAGGAGAGAGAAAAUACGAGUCAAAAGAUUGAACUAAUUUAGUAACAAAAAAUCUCUUUUAUAUAGAUGUAUCCAAAAAAAAUCAAAUUAUUAUUAUUUAAAAAAAAAAAGGUUUUUAUUAUGGUAAACAUACGCAAAACAGAUUCUAAUUUUACAUAAAAUCACUAAAAAAAAUCUCUAAAUAAUUUUAUGUGAAAAUCACUCUUAUUUUAAUCCAUAUCAAACGGGCCCUUUGUUGGUAAUGUGUAUUCUAUUUUGGCUUGGUAAUAUAUAAAUUAAGAAAAUUGCUCUUCUCUCAUCAAAAAACACUCACUGACGAAAGUACCCCUGCGUGACUUCAGUCAUGCUCGAUACUUUCAGCGUGAGUUAAGUCAUCAGUCCCAACUUUCAAGCACCAUUUUCAUUCCCUCAUCACAUCCAAAUUUCUCUUUCAAGCUCACAUUGAAGAAUCACAAGAUUGGUGAAGCGGAGCAAUGCGAGUUUUAUUUUAUGGAUAGAGAAACCUUGUUCAAAGACCCCAUGUCUAUGGAGCCAAAGACGCCAAAAAAACCAACAAAUCAACUAAAUUCAAAUUAUUCCGACACUCCCACCUUGGAAAAAUCAAAAGGAGAAUUUGAAGUAAUUGGAGAAGAUGAAGAUGAUGCACUAUCACUAGCUAGUUAGAUAGGUUAUGACACUUUUUUGUUGGUGUUUGUCCUAUUUUUUGUUGAUAUUACACCGACAUAUUUUUUGGUGGCUGGUUAUAUAACACCGAUAUUUGUGGUCAAUAUGUAACGAACAUUAUAUAUAUUAUAAAAAAAUAUGAAGUGAAAUAUUUUUUUUAGUGACCGGUUGUGUCACGUCAAUUAUUGCUCGCAUUUUUUGGUCUACCUAUUCAACUAUUUAUUUUAUCUUUCAUUUAUUUUUUGGUCUCUACCUAUUUAUUUAUUCUGAUACUUGUUAUUCCAUUAUAUUUUGUGAAGUGAAACAUGUCUGAAGAUGCAUAGGUUCGAGUUGAAGAUCAUGUUCAAUGAGCCGCGUGAAAAAGAAGAUUAAAGUCUUUUUUAACCCCCACUGACAAGCUAGACGAGUUUAAGACACAAUUUAAGAGAUACCUUUUCCAUAUUGGUGAAAAUUGAUGACAGUACGUCAUUACUAGUUUUUUAGUCAUAUUUGUGUCCUUUUUGUAAUGUUUUGAGAGUCAAAUGUUUGUAUACAUGGUUAAAUCAGCUCAAAGAUUCAUAAAAGUGAAGUUUUGCACAAAUUGGAGAAAAAUCAAGAAUUUAGCUACUGGAUCGUGCCACGAUGGACCUGAAUCGUGGCACGUUUGAAGCGUGGAAUUUACCUGAAGAUACUGGAAAAAUCGUGGCACGAUGGAUAUGUAACGUGCCACGAUGGUUUAGUAAAUUUGCUGCCAAGUCAGAUUAAUGAAGGAAUCGUGCCACGAUGGACGCGAAACGUGGCACGAUGGUGGGCUUUUCUGGAACCCUAAUUCUUUGUCUAUAAAAGUCAGAUGCGACCAGAAGCUUAGGGUGAAUUUCGGAGACCUAAACAAAGCAUAGACGACACCAGGAAGCUGAAGAACACGCGGUGGAUCUCACCCAACUCAUAGUUGGUAUUGAUUUAUGUAUGUUCUAUUAUUUUUAUGUAUUUAAUUGUUUAGUUAUGAGUAGCUAAACUCUUAGAUUGAUUAAGCCAUGAGAUGAAUCUUUGUGAUCUGUAAGCAUGUAAUUUGUUAAGAACUCUCUUUGACAUCAAUGAAAACCUAGUCUUUAUUCAUAAUUAUUUGUGCUUAACGCUUUUUUUAUGAUUCUUUUUAUGACUACUAACCCUAACUUCUUUCAAUCACAUAAAUUGAUCUUAGGAAUUGAAUGACUACUAACCCUAGCUUUUAAUCUUGAAAUAGUAAUUCUGUUUUAUUCAACAUAGGAACUUAGAGAUAGGAAAUUGAGGAUUAUGACUUAUGAAUUAACGUUCUCAUCAUACUUCCGCAGUUAUUCAAUCAGUUUAAGAGAUUAAAAGGUUAUGACUUAGGAAAGGGUUUUGAGUCAAGAGAUUAAUCAAAACCACUUAGUUAAUCCGUCGUAAAGCUAGGUUAAUUUCUUUGAGAGAGAAGAGAGGCAAAUUACUCACGGUGAGCAAUAGAGAAUUCAAAAGGCUUGAUCAUCUGUUUUAAUCUAAUUUUCAAACCAUUUUAUUUUCUGUUAUUUACUUUUUAUUGCACACAAACCUACUGCCUCAUGCACUUAUAAAAUUUACACAUCCUAUAUAUUAACUUUAUUGCUAAGUUGAGAUUAACACAGUCCUCGUGGAUACGAACUUAUUUUAUUACUUCGAUAGUUUUAGUACACUUGCUAAAAGUCUAUCAAAAAUCAAAGAAUAUCUCAUGUAGGAGUACAUGUGUCAUGCAUGGACUUGGGGGAGGAUAAAGAAGAUGACUUUUGGAAGACCGUAUAUUUUCCACAACUUAUCGAAGAUGAUAGCGACAUUGAUUACAUAUGAGAAAUGAUAUUUGUACAACUAUUUUAUGACAACUUUUGACAAUUUUCUCUCUCAUACUCACAUUAUAUUCUUAUUCUCUCUCUCUCUCUCUCUCUCUCUCACUCUCUCUCUUCCAUUGAUUUUAAACGAUGAAAAGAGAGAAAUGAGAAGUUGUCACAUAAGUUGUCUCAUAUGUUUGUUCAAAUAUCACUACUCAUUACAUAUUUAGAUUAAUGGUUCAAAAUAACAUUUUAUCUCUUUAUGUCCGAUCCAUUGAAGUGUAAUACUCCCUCCGUUUUUUAAUAUAAACAAAAUUGACUUUUUAGGUUCAUUAAUUUAAUGAUGUAUGUGGUCCAUAUUAUGAAUCACAUACAUCAUUAAAUGAAUGAACCUAAAAAGUCAAUUUUGCUUAUAUUUAAAGACGGAGGGAGUAUUUAUUAACGUGUAAUAAUGUAAUGUGUUCGAAUUUGUGUCUCUAACGUUGAAUUUUAAUGAAUUUGUGUUAUGUGUAAUUUAACGAUGAAUUUGUGUAAUUUGGAUCGUUUAUGUGUGAUUUGUGAUUUUGUGUAUUUAACGACGAAUUUGUGUAAUUUGGAUCGUUUAUGUGUGAUUCUCUAAUUAACGACGCAUUUGUGAAAUUUGGAUCAAUUAUGUGAGAUUAUGUUGUUAAACUGGUGUAAUUCGGAUAAGUUAUAAGUGUAUAAAAAUUACAAAUCAUUAAUGACUUGGUUAAUGUCAUUCAAUGCUAUUCUGCUCCUAUAUCUGUAGCCAACAUGAGUCAAUGUUGUUCAACGUAACUUAAGUCACAUUGAGUCUAACACCUGCGUGACUUAAGUCAUUGAGGGUAUUUUUAUCGGUUUCUAUGAGAGUGCGAAUUUUUUAUGGGAGAAGAGAAAUUUAAUAAAGUAAAGCGUAUAUUCUUUCCUGCACGUGAAAGUGUUUUGAAAUUCGUGGUUCAUUCAUGUGGAUCUGUUAAACAAAUGAAGGAAAAAUUACUUUCGGUACCUACUACCAUUAAAUUAAAGCGUAUAUUCUUCCCUACACAUGAAAGUGUUAUGAAAUUCGUGGUUCAUUCAUGUGGAUCUGUUAAACACAUGAAGGAAAAAUUACUUUUGGUACAUACCAUUAAACACUUCAUUGGUACCUACAACUAAAUAUCAACUCUAGCAGUAAUAGAACCAAGCAACAAUGGAGUCUCAACAAUCCCAUAACCAACUUCAUGUAACUUUUCUUCCACAUCCAAGUCCUGGCCAUAUGAAUCCUAUGAUUGACACAGCUAGACUAUUUGCAAAGCAUGGUGUUAAUGUGACCAUCAUCACUACGCAUGCUAAUGCUUCAACAUUCCAAAAAUCCAUAGACAGUGACUUCAAUUCAGGAUACCCUAUCAAAACACAUCUUAUCAAGUUCCCUUCAGCUCAAGUUGGUCUCCCUGAUGGUGUUGAAAACAUGAAAGAUGGAACUUCAUUUGAAAUACUAGGUAAAAUCGGCCUUGGAAUAUCCAUGCUCCAAGAUCCGAUUGAGGCUUUGUUUCAAGACCUUCAACCUGAUUGUAUAGUGACAGAUAUGAUGUUUCCUUGGACGGUCGAAGCAGCUGCAAGACUAGGUAUUCCAAGAAUUCAUUAUUACAGCUCAAGCUACUUCUCCAAUUGUGCUGCUCAUUUGAUCAUGAAGUAUAGACCUCAUGAUAAUUUAGUUUCUGAUACACACAAAUUUACAAUUCCUGGUUUGCCUCAUACAAUUGAAAUGACUCCUCUGCAGCUUCCUUUUUGGAUAAGGACACAGAGUUUUGCCACUGCCUAUUUUGAAGCAAUUUAUGAAUCACAGAAAAGAAGUUAUGGAACACUAUACAAUAGUUUUCAUGAACUGGAAAGUGAUUAUGAAAAACUUAGUAACACUACCAUGGGGAUCAAAACUUGGAGUGUAGGACCAGUUUCAUCAUGGGCUAACAAGGAUGAUGAAAAGAAGGGCAAUACGCUUGGAAAAGAGGCCGAGUGGUUAAAUUGGCUUAACACAAAGCAAAAUGAGUCCGUAUUGUAUGUAAGUUUUGGAAGUCUAACUAGGCUUGAUAAUGCUCAGAUUGUAGAAAUUGCACACGG
rnacentral:lncRNA from 1 species